GAUGAACGCUGGCGGCGUGCCUAAUACAUGCAAGCCGAGCGAACAGACGAGGAGCUUGCUCCUCUGACGUUAGCGGCGGACGGGUGAGUAACACGUGGAUAACCUACCUAUAAGACUGGGAUAACUUCGGGAAACCGGAGCUAAUACCGGAUAAUAUAUUGAACCGCAUGGUUCAAUAGUGAAAGACGGUUUUGCUGUCACUUAUAGAUGGAUCCGCGCCGCAUUAGCUAGUUGGUAAGGUAACGGCUUACCAAGGCAACGAUGCGUAGCCGACCUGAGAGGGUGAUCGGCCACACUGGAACUGAGACACGGUCCAGACUCCUACGGGAGGCAGCAGUAGGGAAUCUUCCGCAAUGGGCGAAAGCCUGACGGAGCAACGCCGCGUGAGUGAUGAAGGUCUUCGGAUCGUAAAACUCUGUUAUUAGGGAAGAACAAAUGUGUAAGUAACUAUGCACGUCUUGACGGUGCCUAAUCAGAAAGCCACGGCUAACUACGUG
rnacentral:rRNA from 1 species